CAAAGUCAAUAUUUACUCGGAUUUGGUGAAAAGCCAUAGAAAUAAUCCUGAUCAGCCAACUAUGUGAAUUUAGGCUUUUUUUACUGAUUGUUGUUGCAGCAUACCCAUUGCCUUUGACCUGCUGUUUCUGAAGAAGAAGUGGAAGAGUUUUAUCACGUGGACUCUGGUGGCGUUGCUCCUCUUUCUGGUCCCUGUUGUUGUAGUAGACAGCUACUACUAUGGAAAGCUGGUGAUUGCUCCUCUGAAUAUAAUACUAUACAACAUGUUCACUCCUCAUGGGCCCGAUCUUUAUGGCACAGAGCCCUGGCAUUACUACUUUGUGAAUGGUUUCCUUAAUUUCAACAUUGUAUUUGUGUUGGCCCUCUUUUCUCUUCCUCU